rnacentral:rRNA from 1 species
UACAGGGGGUGCAAACGUUGCUCGGAAUCAUUGGGCGUAAAGCGCACGUAGGCGGUCUGUUAUGUCGGAUGUGAAAGCCCUUGGCUUAACUGAGGAAGUGCAUCCGAAACUGGCAGGCUAGAGUGUGGCAGAGGGGGGUGGAAUUCCACGUGUAGCAGUGAAAUGCGUAGAGAUGUGGAGGAACACCGAUGGCGAAGGCAGCCCCCUGGGUUAACACUGACGCUCAGGCACGAAAGCGUGGGGAGCAAACAGG